UACGUAGGUGACCAGCGUUGUCCGGAUUUACUGGGCGUAAAGAGCGCGCAGGCGGUCGUUCAAGUCGAGUGUGAAAGCCCCCGGCUCAACUGGGGAGGGUCACUUGAUACUGAUCGACUCGAAGGCAGGAGAGGGAAGCGGAAUUCCCGGUGUAGUGGUGAAAUGCGUAGAUAUCUGGAGGAACACCGGUGGCGAAGGCGGCAUCCUGGACCGAAAUUGACGCUGAGGCGCGAAAGCGUGGGGAGCAAACAGG
rnacentral:rRNA from 1 species